rnacentral:rRNA from 1 species
GGUUACUGCUAUCGGGGUCCGACUAAGCCAUGCGAGUUGAGAGGGGUAAGCCCUCGGCAUACUGCUCAGUAACACGCGGAUAACCUGCCCUUGGGUCCGGGAUAACCCCGGGAAACUGGGACUAAUACCGGAUAGAUCAGAGAAACUGGAAUGUUCUCUGGUUCAAAACUCCGGUGCCCAAGGAUGGGUCUGCGGCCUAUCGGGUAGUAGUGGGUGUAACGUACCUACUAGCCAGCGACGGGUAAGGGUUGUGAGAGCAAGAUCCCUGAGAUGGAUUCUGAGACAUGAAUCCAGGCCCUACGGGGUGCAGCAGGCGCGAAAACUUUACACUGCGGGAAACCGCGAUAAGGGGACCCCGAGUGCCAGCACCUAGUGCUGGCUGUCCUACUGUCUAAAUAACAGUGGUUAGCAAGGGCCGGGCAAGACCGGUGCCAGCCGCCGCGGUAACACCGGCGGCCCGAGUGGUAACCGUUUUUAUCGGGUUUAAAGGGUCCGUAGCCGGCUUACUGAGUCUCUUGGGAAAUCUGGCGGCUCAAUCGUCAGGCGGCCAAGAGAUACUGGUAGGCUUGGGACCGGGAGAGGUGGGAGGUACUCCAGGGGUAGGGGUGAAAUCUCGUAAUCCUUGGGGGACCACCGAUGGCGAAGGCAUCCCACCAGAACGGGUCCGACGGUGAGGGACGAAAGCUGGGGGCACGAACCGGAUUAGAUACCCGGGUAGUCCCAGCUGUAAACGAUGCUCGCUAGGUGUCAGGUGCGGUGCGACCGCAUCUGGUGCCGCAGUGAAAACUUGAAGCGAGUCACCUGGGAAGUACGGUCGCAAGGCUGAAACUUAAAGGAAUUGGCGGGGGAGCACUACAGCGGGUGGAGCCUGCGGUUC